rnacentral:rRNA from 1 species
UACGUAGGGGGCAAGCGUUGUCCGGAUUUAUUGGGCGUAAAGAGCGUGUAGGCGGCUAGGUAGGUCCGUUGUGAAAACUCGAGGCUCAACCUCGAGACGCCGAUGGAAACCAUCUAGCUAGAGUCCGGAAGAGGAGAGUGGAAUUCCUGGUGUAGCGGUGAAAUGCGCAGAUAUCAGGAAGAACACCAAUGGCGAAGGCAGCUCUCUGGGACGGUACUGACGCUGAGACGCGAAAGCGUGGGGAGCGAACAGG